rnacentral:rRNA from 1 species
UACGUAGGGUGCAAGCGUUAAUCGGAAUUACUGGGCGUAAAGCGUGCGCAGGCGGUGAUGUAAGACAGUUGUGAAAUCCCCGGGCUCAACCUGGGAACUGCAUCUGUGACUGCAUCGCUGGAGUGCGGCAGAGGGGGAUGGAAUUCCGCGUGUAGCAGUGAAAUGCGUAGAGAUGUGGAGGAACACCGAUGGCGAAGGCAGCCUCCUGGGCCAGCACUGACGCUCAUGCACGAAAGCGUGGGGAGCAAACAGG